GUGAAAAUCUAUAGUUAUUAUGAUACCUUCCUGAAGAAAUACCAAGAGCUUGCAAAGGCAAGGGAUUGGAAGCAACCCCUCCUUGUUGUGCUGUCAUAUUCUGUUCAGAUAAUGGAUGAAGGAGUUAUAGCAGUCACUCCAAAUGACAUUCCUGUGGAUGCUCUCGUAUCCCCAGUCGGUGUGAUUCCUAUUAGCCAAGCUGCCUUAGACAGGAUGAAGCUUUGACUUGCACUUGGAAGUUGGAAACCAAACCAGUUGAUUGCUUUCUUUCUUCGAUAAUGGGAUCUUCAUCCUUCAAGAAAUUGGAGUUUGGGUAUGUCAU